rnacentral:rRNA from 1 species
GCGAUAGGGGCCGUCCGACCGCGUGUCCGGUUCCGCCAGACKCAUUUGUCUCCCGCUCGAAGGACGCCGCAGCCGGUUGGGCAGUGAAAGCGUGACGGCCUGAGAGGCGGACGAUGGCAGGUGGCCGGUGGCGCGCCUCGUGCGUGUCGCCGGUUGUUAGCCGGUCCGUCGGUGGCCCGUCGCUCGACCGAGGUAUCACGAGGCCCCUCGGGGCUCUCGCGCCUCCUCCACCAUGGAAGCGGGACAGAACGUCGCAAGCGAAGGUCGCCGUCCCGCCGCACUCUUACGGAGUGGGCGGGCGAACGCCCUGCGCCGUUGGCGACGGCGGACCCGUCGGAGGCCGGAGGCUGGCGGCGAGUAGGUCGGUCACCCACCCGACCCGUCUUGAAACACGGACCAAGGAGUCUAACAUGUGCGCGAGUCAAUGGGUCUUGAACAGGCCCAGGGGCGCAAUGAAAGCAAAGGUCGUCUUCACGUCGACCGAGUUGGGAUCCCCCGGGCUUGCACCGGGGGCGCACCAACGACCCGUCCUAUCCGGCUCGCCGGUUGGGCGGAGUGUGAGCGUACACGUUGGGACCCGAAAGAUGGUGAACUAUGCCCGGACAGGACGAGGCCAGAG